rnacentral:rRNA from 1 species
AGAGUUUGAUUCUGGCUCAGGACGAACGCUGGCGGCGCGCCUAACACAUGCAAGUCGAACGAGCGAGAGAGAGCUUGCUUUCUCGAGCGAGUGGCGAACGGGUGAGUAACGCGUGAGGAACCUGCCUCAAAGAGGGGGACAACAGUUGGAAACGACUGCUAAUACCGCAUAAGCCCACGGCUCGGCAUCGAGCAGAGGGAAAAGGAGCAAUCCGCUUUGAGAUGGCCUCGCGUCCGAUUAGCUAGUUGGUGAGGUAACGGCCCACCAAGGCAACGAUCGGUAGCCGGACUGAGAGGUUGAACGGCCACAUUGGGACUGAGACACGGCCCAGACUCCUACGGGAGGCAGCAGUGGGGAAUAUUGCACAAUGGGGGAAACCCUGAUGCAGCGACGCCGCGUGGAGGAAGAAGGUCUUCGGAUUGUAAACUCCUGUUGUUGAGGAAGAUAAUGACGGUACUCAACAAGGAAGUGACGGCUAACUACGUGCCAGCAGCCGCGGUAAAACGUAGGUCACAAGCGUUGUCCGGAAUUACUGGGUGUAAAGGGAGCGCAGGCGGGAAGACAAGUUGGAAGUGAAAUCCAUGGGCUCAACCCAUGAACUGCUUUCAAAACUGUUUUUCUUGAGUAGUGCAGAGGUAGGCGGAAUUCCCCGGUGUAGCGGUGGAAUGCGUAGAUAUCGGGAGGAACACCAGUGGCGAAGGCGGCCUACUGGGCACCAACUGACGCUGAGGCUCGAAAGUGUGGGUAGCAAACAGGAUUAGAUACCCUGGUAGUCCACACUGUAAACGAUGAUUACUAGGUGUUGGAGGAUUGACCCCUUCAGUGCCGCAGUUAACACAAUAAGUAAUCCACCUGGGGAGUACGACCGCAAGGUUGAAACUCAAAGGAAUUGACGGGGGCCCGCACAAGCAGUGGAGUAUGUGGUUUAAUUCGACGCAACGCGAAGAACCUUACCAAGUCUUGACAUCCUGCGACGGUGCUGGAAACAGUACUUUCCUUCGGGACGCAGAGACAGGUGGUGCAUGGUUGUCGUCAGCUCGUGUCGUGAGAUGUUGGGUUAAGUCCCGCAACGAGCGCAACCCUUAUGGUCAGUUACUACGCAAGAGGACUCUGGCCAGACUGCCGUUGACAAAACGGAGGAAGGUGGGGAUGACGUCAAAUCAUCAUGCCCUUUAUGACUUGGGCUACACACGUACUACAAUGGCGUUAAACAAAGAGAAGCAAGACCGCGAGGUGGAGCAAAACUCAGAAACAACGUCCCAGUUCGGACUGCAGGCUGCAACUCGCCUGCACGAAGUCGGAAUUGCUAGUAAUCGCAGAUCAGCAUGCUGCGGUGAAUACGUUCCCGGGCCUUGCACUCACCGCCCGUCA